rnacentral:rRNA from 1 species
GUCGAGCGGACAGAAGGGAGCUUGCUCCCGGAUGUUAGCGGCGGACGGGUGAGUAACACGUGGGUAACCUGCCUGUAAGACUGGGAUAACUCCGGGAAACCGGAGCUAAUACCGGAUAGUUCCUUGAACCGCAUGGUUCAAGGAUGAAAGACGGUUUCGGCUGUCACUUACAGAUGGACCCGCGGCGCAUUAGCUAGUUGGUGAGGUAACGGCUCACCAAGGCGACGAUGCGUAGCCGACCUGAGAGGGUGAUCGGCCACACUGGGACUGAGACACGGCCCAGACUCCUACGGGAGGCAGCAGUAGGGAAUCUUCCGCAAUGGACGAAAGUCUGACGGAGCAACGCCGCGUGAGUGAUGAAGGUUUUCGGAUCGUAAAGCUCUGUUGUUAGGGAAGAACAAGUGCAAGAGUAACUGCUUGCACCUUGACGGUACCUAACCAGAAAGCCACGGCUAACUACGUGCCAGCAGCCGCGGUAAUACGUAGGUGGCAAGCGUUGUCCGGAAUUAUUGGGCGUAAAGGGCUCGCAGGCGGUUUCUUAAGUCUGAUGUGAAAGCCCCCGGCUCAACCGGGGAGGGUCAUUGGAAACUGGGAAACUUGAGUGCAGAAGAGGAGAGUGGAAUUCCACGUGUAGCGGUGAAAUGCGUAGAGAUGUGGAGGAACACCAGUGGCGAAGGCGACUCUCUGGUCUGUAACUGACGCUGAGGAGCGAAAGCGUGGGGAGCGAACAGGAUUAGAUACCCUGGUAGUCCACGCCGUAAACGAUGAGUGCUAAGUGUUAGGGGGUUUCCGCCCCUUAGUGCUGCAGCUAACGCAUUAAGCACUCCGCCUGGGGAGUACGGUCGCAAGACUGAAACUCAAAGGAAUUGACGGGGGCCCGCACAAGCGGUGGAGCAUGCGGUUUAAUUCGAAGCAACGCCGAGAACCUUACCAGGUCUUGACAUCCUCUGACAACCCUAGAGAUAGGGCUUUCCCUUCGGGGACAGAGUGACAGGUGGUGCAUGGUUGUCGUCAGCUCGUGUCGUGAGAUGUUGGGUUAAGUCCCGCAACGAGCGCAACCCUUGAUCUUAGUUGCCAGCAUUCAGUUGGGCACUCUAAGGUGACUGCCGGUGACAAACCGGAGGAAGGUGGGGAUGACGUCAAAUCAUCAUGCCCCUUAUGACCUGGGCUACACACGUGCUACAAUGGACAGAACAAAGGGCUGCGAGACCGCAAGGUUUAGCCAAUCCCACAAAUCUGUUCUCAGUUCGGAUCGCAGUCUGCAACUCGACUGCGUGAAGCUGGAAUCGCUAGUAAUCGCGGAUCAGCAUGCCGCGGUGAAUACGUUCCCGGGCCUUGUACACACCGCCCGUCACACCACGAGAGUUUGCAACACCCGAAGUCGGUGAGGUAACCUUUAUGGAGCCAGCC